rnacentral:rRNA from 1 species
UACGAAGGGGGCUAGCGUUGCUCGGAAUUACUGGGCGUAAAGGGAGCGUAGGCGGAUAGUUUAGUCGGAGGUGAAAGCCCAGGGCUCAACCCUGGAAUUGCCUUUGAUACUGGCUAUCUUGAGUGUGGGAGAGGUUAGCGGAACUCCGAGUGUAGAGGUGAAAUUCGUAGAUAUUCGGAAGAACACCAGUGGCGAAGGCGGCUAACUGGCCCAUUACUGACGCUGAGGCUCGAAAGCGUGGGGAGCAAACAGG